AACCGUAAAAUUGCAGUUGAUACUGGAUAUCUUGAGUGCAGUUGAGGCAGGCGGGAUUCGUGGUGUAGCGGUGAAAUGCUUAGAUAUCACGAAGAACUCCGAUUGCGAAGGCAGCCUGCUAAGCUGCAACUGACAUUGAGGCUCGAAAGUGUGGGUAUCAAACAGGAUUAGAUACCCUGGUAGUCCACACGGUAAACGAUGAAUACUCGCUGUUUGCGAUAUACUGCAAGCGGCCAAGCGAAAGCGUUAAGUAUUCCACCUGGGGAGUACGCCGGCAACGGUGAAACUCAAAGGAAUUGACGGGGGCCCGCACAAGCGGAGGAACAUGUGGUUUAAUUCGAUGAUACGCGAGGAACCUUACCCGGGCUUAAAUUGCAGAUGAAUUACGGUGAAAGCCGUAAGCCGCAAGGCAUCUGUGAAGGUGCUGCAUGGUUGUCGUCAGCUCGUGCCGUGAGGUGUCGGCUUAAGUGCCAUAACGAGCGCAACCCUUGUUGUCAGUUACUAACAGGUUCCGCUGAGGACUCUGACAAGACUGCCAUCGUAAGAUGUGAGGAAGGUGGGGAUGACGUCAAAUCAGCACGGCCCUUACGUCCGGGGCUACACACGUGUUACAAUGGGGGGUACAGAGGGCCGCUACCACGCGAGUGGAUGCCAAUCCCAAAAACCUCUCUCAGUUCGGACUGGAGUCUGCAACCCGACUCCACGAAGCUGGAUUCGCUAGUAAUCGCGCAUCAGCCACGGCGCGGUGAAUACGUUCCCGGGCCUUGUACACACCGCCCGUCAAGCCAUGGGAGCCGGGGGUACCUGAAGUGCGUAACCGCGAGGAGCGCCCUAGGGUAAA
rnacentral:rRNA from 1 species